UACGUAGGGUGCAAGCGUUAAUCGGAAUUACUGGGCGUAAAGCGUGCGCAGGCGGAUGGGAAAGUCGAUUGUGAAAUCCCUGGGCUCAACCUAGGAAUUGCAGUCGAAACUUCCCAUCUUGAGUGCCUGAGAGGAUGGCGGAAUUCCCGGUGUAGUAGUGAAAUACGUAGAUAUCGGGAAGAACACCUGAGGCGAAGGCGGCUAUCUGGCGGUGCACUGACGCUGAGGCGCGAAAGCGUGGGGAGCAAACAGG
rnacentral:rRNA from 1 species